GCAGGCCGACGCUCUAUCCACUGAGCCAAACCGGUUUCGGCUUUUCUUUCAUUUUUAAUUAAGACUCUAGCCUGCCAUUAUAAUUGUUCCCUUAUAAGUAUCCUCGGCCAUCUUGUUCUUUCCCUUUUAUUGCAGUGUUGCUCAGACUUGACUGGGCAUAGCUAGCACCAGACCCACAGGAAGGGCUUGUUAAAACACAGUUUUUGGCGUGGCUCAGUGGCUGAGCAUCGACCUAUGAACCAGGAGUUUGUGGUUCAAUUCCCAGUGUGGGGCGUGCAGGAGGCAGCCGAUCAAUGAUUCUCUUUCGUAAUGUUUCUAUCUUGGUUACCCUCUCUGAAAUCAAUACAAAUAUUUUUUAAAAACCCCCACACAGUGUUCUGGCCCCACUUGCAGAGUGUCUGACUCAGGAGGGCUGUGAUGAGGCCUGAGCACUGGCAUGUCUUCCCAGUUUUCAAUGAUUCUGUUGCUGCUGGUCUGGAGACCCCACACGGAGAACCAUUGCUUUGCUCCAGCUACUGUGACUGCAUGCGACUCUGUCUUUUCUGCACCUACAACCAAGCAGCUGGAUGCUGUUCAAGAAAAAUUACCGACUGGGCUGCCUGCUUCCAUUUACAUGGGCCUCAAUAGCUGCCUAGCGGUCCUCUCACAUUUCCCUACAGAUAACCUCGUCUCCCACCCGUCGGUGAGGAACUAGAAGCCAGGAGAAGGGAACGGCCUCAUAGUCCCACUGACGAGGCUCUGACUCUGCUGGGAGCUGCUCCUGCCUCCUGUCCAGUGGAAGGAUAGAUCUCUGCCCAUCUCCAGCAGCCUCUCCUCCCAUGGUCUGCAUCCUGCUCUCUCCUCUCCAAGAGCUCUACUUCUUUAACCCCUCCUUUCCCCCAUGCUAUUGAUUGUGUCAAUCUGGAUUAUUACUUGUAUCCCCAUUUGUAACCCGCCCUUGACCCUAUAUUCUCAUCCAGCCACCAUCCCAUUUCUUUGCUCCCAUUCACAGUAAAAAUUAUUGAAAAAGUU